AUUGAACGCUGGCGGCAUGCCUUACACAUGCAAGUCGAACGGCAGCACGGGAGCAAUCCUGGUGGCGAGUGGCGAACGGGUGAGUAAAGUAUCGGAACGUGCCCAGUCGUGGGGGAUAACGUAGCGAAAGUUACGCUAAUACCGCAUACGAUCUAUGGAUGAAAGCGGGGGAUCGCAAGACCUCGCGCGAUUGGAGCGGCCGAUGUCAGAUUAGGUAGUUGGUGGGGUAAAGGCUCACCAAGCCAACGAUCUGUAGCUGGUCUGAGAGGACGACCAGCCACACUGGGACUGAGAAACGGCCCAGACGCCUAGGGGAGGCGGGAGUGGGGAAUUUUGGACAAUGGGCGAAAGCCUGAUCCAGCAAUGCCGCGUGCAGGAAGAAGGCCUUCGGGUUGUAAACUGCUUUUGUACGGAGCGAAAAGGCUCUCUCUAAUACAGGGGGCUCAUGACGGUACCGUAAGAAUAAGCACCGGCUAACUACGUGCCAGCCGCCGCAGUAA
rnacentral:rRNA from 1 species